rnacentral:tRNA from 1 species
AUUUAAGUAGUUUAAUAAAAAUAUUGAUUUGUGGUGUCAAAGAAGUUUCAUAACCUUAAAUU